rnacentral:lncRNA from 1 species
CUCUUCAUAACGAAGCAAGAGAAAUACUGUUUUCAAAAUUAGAAAGUUAUGCUAUAUCCAUUGAGCUUCUAUUAGCUGGUGACGGUGACCUUUCUUUUCAGCAAAACAAAGACAUUUUUGAGUCCGUACAAUCUUAUAUCAGAAUAACACAAAGAUUUAAAACAAUCAAUUAACAUUCUAAAUUUCUACUUUACAACCUUUCACUCCAGUCUAGUUGUUUCAUUAUUAUUCCUUAUUAUAUUGUAUUUUUUUUUCUUUUUUCUUUUUAUUUCUAAUUUUUGUUUGAAGUAUGUAUUACAUGCAUUACUACUAUGUUGUAUUUUUUCUUUUUUGCCAUUAUCUAAUGUACUUUGUGUUUAUAUUUAUAUUGGGAGAGGACGUCUCUAAUGUUGUUAUAACUUGUGUCCAAUCCCUUUUGCUACUUUUGCA